rnacentral:rRNA from 1 species
UUUCGCAAUGCCCGAAAGGGUGACGAAGCGACGCCGCGUGGGUGAGGAAGGCCUUCGGGUUGUAAAGCCCUGUCAGGAGUUAAGAAAUGUAAGUGCGCUAAUACCGCAUUAAUUUGACGAAGGCUCCAAAGGAAGUCACGGCUAACUCUGUGCCAGCAGCCGCGGUAAUACAGAGGUGGCAAGCGUUGUUCGGAAUUAUUGGGCGUAAAGAGCACGUAGGUGGGUUUGUAAGUCAGAUGUGAAAGCCUCCUGUUCAACGGGAGAAUUGCAUCUGAAACUACAGAUCUUGAGUGUAGGAGGGGAGAAUGGAACUUCUGGUGGAGCGGUGAAAUGCGUAGAUAUCAGAAGGAACGCCGGCGGCGAAAGCGAUUCUCUGGCCUAUUACUGACACUCAGUGUGCGAAAGCUAGGGUAGCAAACGGGAUUAGAUACCCCGGUAGUCCUAGCCGUAAACGAUGGGCACUAAGUAGAGGGGUUUUA